GAUAAUAUUCAUGAUCCCUAUCCCUUUUUUUUCUCUCUCUCGAGCAUCUCUCCCAACGAGUUUGCCCUAGCCGUCAACAAAUUUCAAUUUCCGUUUGCCCUCUCUGGUGGCCAGUGCUUCUCUCCGCUGCCGUGAGAAGAUUGGAGAAUAUUUUGGUUUACUUGGAGUUCUGAUUUGGGUUUGUGGAUGCGGUUGGAAGGGUCAAUUUAUAGAAAAAAUGCUAGCAAUUCCGGAUCUGGUAGAUCCACAGUAUGGCUCGAAGAAUAAGGUAUCUUCUUUGCUUGGUCCUUCCCAUGUGUUAUUUCGUUCAUGUGAUGUUCGAUUUGAAGCCGUCAGUGUUGUGUGGCUGUGAUUGCGUUAUCCGCCCAGCCUUUGCCUUCCUAUCACCCUUGUUUUAUCUCGCCCAACCUUUGAUUCCCAUGAGGCUCGUUUCCUUUCUAAGCUUAGGCUCCGUUUGUUGAUUGAAGAAUUGCUAGUCUCGGUGAUCUGUUCAGAUCUGAUUGCGUUUUGAAAGCUUCUAUCUAGACGUUACGGACGCUGUAGUCGUCGUCGUCGCAUCCGGAAGCGUACUCGAGUCUUGUUUGCCGGAUUAUGAAGUUUUUGGUUCUUGUUUUGAGAGAUUGGCUCUCAUCUUGAUAGGAGGUGGUGGUUGUUAUUGUCAGAUUGGCCGUGGGUAUCCUUGGUAAAACUCUUCUACAAGUGCUUCAGAAGAAGAAAUCUUGCGUUUUGAGACUAGUUUAUUUCGUAAAGACUCAGCCUAGUUUGCCUUUGUUUUUAAUUCUUGGGUUCGUCCUCUUUCUAAGUUAAAAUUGUUUGCUUUGUAGUUUGUUUCUUUGUUGGUUUCACUUAUGUUUCUGGGGAUCUCUACUCGUCCGCCGGCUUUGUUUCCCUCUUUUGGACAUUAGAUUCUGGGGGAAUCUUGUAUUCCGCCGGCUUAAUCUUGUAUUCUACCAUGUAUUCCACCAUGUAUUCCA